CCUCAUCCACCUGCUGGGGGCAAAUGAAGUGGAUAUGAGUGUCGAAACCACCAGCUGUGACGAUCUUGUUUUCACCUGCAAUAACAUCGGUGGAAGAGCCGAUAGUCAUGCCCGGGGUGACACCAUCCAUAAUAUCAGGGUUUCCAGCUUUACCAAUGCCCACAAUGAGCCCAUCCUUGAUUCCAAUAUCAGCCUUGAAGAUACCAGUCCAGUCGAUGAUCAGAGCGUUCGUGACAACGGUGUCCAAAGCAUGCUCCGUAGACUUUUCCGAAGAUUGACCCAUGCCAUCUCGAAUAGA
rfam:Aspergillus kawachii IFO 4308 DNA, contig: scaffold00018.